rnacentral:rRNA from 1 species
CCUACGGGGUGCAGCAGUGAGGAAUAUUGGUCAAUGGACGAGAGUCUGAACCAGCCAAGUCGCGUGAAGGAAGACUGCCCUAUGUGUUUUAACCUUCUUUUAUAUGGGAAUAAAAUGUUCUACGUGUGUGAUUUUGUAUGGAUCAUAUGAAUAAGGAUCGGCUAACUCCGUGCCAGCAGCCGCGGUAAUACGGAGGAUCCGAGCGUUAUCCGGAUUUAUUGGGUUUAAAGGGAGCGUAGGUGGUUUGUUAAGUCAGUUGUGAAAGUUUGCGGCUCAACCGUAAAAUUGCAGUUGAAACUGGCAGUCUUGAGUACAGUAGAGGUGGGCGGAAUUCGUGGUGUAGCGGUGAAAUGCUUAGAUAUCACGAAGAACUCCGAUUGCGAAGGCAGCUCACUGGACUGCAACUGACACUGAGGCUCGAAAGUGUGGGUAGCAAACAGGAUUAGAUACCCUGGUAGUC